GUUGUUCGGAAUUACUGGGCGUAAAGGGCUCGUAGGCGGCCCACUAAGUCAGAUGUGAAAUCCCCAGGCUCAACCUGGGAACUGCAUCUGAUACUGGUGGGCUUGAAUUCGGGAGAGGGAUGCAGAAUUCCAGGUGUAGCGGUGAAAUGCGUAGAUAUCUGGAGGAACACCGGUGGCGAAGGCGGCAUCCUGGACCAUUACUGACGCUGAGACGCGAAAGCGUGGGGAGCAAACAGG
rnacentral:rRNA from 1 species